UAUCUGAAUCUAACUUUUAUGGACUUGAGCCACAAUCAUUUGAGAGGUGAACUUUCAUGGAAAUGGGAGCAUUGUAGUAAUUUGAUGAGUUUAAGGAUAUCAAACAAUGACCUCUCUGGUGAGAUACCCGCAAUACUUGGAAGGAUGGCUAAGUUACAGGAACUGAACCUUUCUUCAAAUAAUUUUAGGGGAGAGAUUCCAAGGGAAAUGGGUAGCUUGUCCAUGUUGUUGGAUCUUGAUCUAAGCAACAAUGCGAUCACAGGUAAUGUCCCAAUUGAGAUUGGACUUUUAUCCUAUUUGGAAAAGCUGAACUUGGCAUCAAACAAUUUGAGUGGAUAUAUACCGAUGCAACUAGGCUCGUGCAAACAUUUGUUGAGCUUAAACUUGAGUAGAAACAAAAUCCAGGGAAGCAUUCCUCCUGAGAUAGGUAACACACAAGUCCUUGAGGUUCUUGGUUUGAGUUAUAAUAUUUUGUCUGAAAAUAUCCCAAGCGAGCUUGCGGAGCUUAGAAACUUGCAAUUUCUAAAUAUCUCCCACAAUAGCUUGUUUGGUUCCAUCCCACAUAGUUUUGGAGAUAUGUUGUCCUUGAUUUCUAUUGAUGUUUCCUAUAAUGACCUGGAAGGUCCUCUCCCUAAUGUCAAGGCUUUCAAUGAAGCUCCAUUUGAGGCAAUUCAACAUAACAAAGGGCUUUGUGGAAAUGUUGUUGGUUUACCGAACUGCAAUUCUACUGGGAACAAGAAACGUAAUCUACACAUUGAAGCUAGAAUCAUAGUAAUCCUCAUUCUCUCGUUCUUGGGAUUUCUACUUCUCUCUGGCACCUUGAUUAUUCUUGGAAUCAUCAAUCAUCAUCGAAGAAGGAUUAUGAAGAGAGAGAACAAUGAGCGGGCAAAUGAUUUGGAUUUCAAGAGUAUUGUGAGUUAUGAUGGAAAUGUUUUCUAUGAUCGAAUCGUGGAGGCCACGAAAGGAUUUGAUUCCAUGUACUACGUGGAUGAAGGAGCAUAUGGAAUUGUUUUAUAAAGCUGAGAUAUCAUAAAGUCAAACAUUUACUAUAAAGCAAACAUUGUCAUCCCAAGAAGAUAGUGAGAUCAUUGAUUUGAUACCAUUUGAAAGGGAAAUUCAAGCCUUAACAAAUAUACGUCACCGCAACAUCGUGAAAUUUUAUGGCUUCUGCUUUCAUGCCCAAUGUUGUUUUUUGGUGUAUGAGUACAUGGAAAGAGGAAGCUUGAGGACAGUUUUGAACGAUGAUGAAAGAGCUGGAGAAUUUCAAUGGGACAAGAGGGUAAAUGUGGUCCGAGGAGUUGCGGACGCAUUGUCCAAUAUGCAUCACGAAUGUUCACCUUCGUUAUUACAUCGGGACUUGACCAGUAACAACAUUCUAUUGGAUCUCAAUUACGAGGCUCGUGUUUCUGAUUUUGGCACUGCAAGACUAUUGAGGCCGGAUUCAUCAAACUGGACUGCUAUUGCUGGCACCAUUGGGUAUAUUGCUCCAGAGCUGGCUUAUUCCACAGUUCCUACAGAAAAGUGUGAUGUAUAUAGCUUUGGAGUUGUUGCAUUAGAGGCAAUCAUGGGAAAGCAUCCAGGAGAUCAUAUCUCUUGGGAGUAUUCAUCAUCCGCCCAAACUGAGUCGAUGAUGUUGAAGGAUGUGCUAGAUCAACGACUCUCGCCUUCAGGACUUGGCCUUCGAGAUGCGCAGGAUGUGGUCUUGAUUGCCAAGCUAGCGUUUGAGUGCUUGCAAGCCAAUCCGAGGCUUAGACCGACCAUGGGACAAGUCUCACGUGAGGUUCGCUUUCAAGUACCUCUGGAUAUGCCACUCUCUACAGUCAGUUUAGAGCAACUUCGCAUUCUUAAUGUCAAAAGAAUUGGAGCAUUCCAGGAGAUGAGGUAACUUCUCUAUGAACAUUACAAGAGUUUGAAGUCGUGGUACUAGAAAUAAGUAUGGGAAGACUUUUGGGAAGCUCCCGUUUCACAAUUAUUUCCUUCCUUUUGCCGAGUGAUCGGGAAGUGAAUUUACGAAAUGCAGUGGAUCAACAUC